UGCCAGCAGUCGCGGUUACACCAAGAGAUCGAAUCGUGUCAGUUGGUUAAAAGGUAGUUAUAUAAAGAUAAAGUUCAUUGAUUGCUUAUUGAAAGGUAAAAUUUAUAAAUAAGUAAAAUAGAUCGAAAAUGGCUUAUAAUAUUGAAGCUGCGAUAUCCUCGAGGGAAACUGGGAUUGGAUACCCCAUUAUUCUUGGAUGUAAAAACGAGUUACCAGAGUACUAUGAGCAUUUACAGCUUAAAACUCAAAGAGCUUGGCGGUGUUUUAGAUCACUCAGGGGAACCUGUUUCGUAAUCGACAGUCCACGUUAAACCUAACCUUCUUUUGUUUUCAGCUUGUAUACCGUUGUCGCCAGGUAACUUUUAAAAACAAAAAAGCUAGCAAAUAAACAGUUUUAGUUUAGACGUCAGAUCAGGGUGCAGUCUAUGAGAAGGAGAGAAUGGGUUACAAUUAUAAAAUUAUAAUACGGAAGAUUAACUUAAAAAUUAGUCUUAAAGGAGGACUUGAAAGUAAUUUUAGGUAUAUAAAUAACUUGAAUUAGACUCUGAAACGUGCACACAUCGCCCGCCACUC
rnacentral:rRNA from 1 species